GACGAACGCUGGCGGCGUGCUUAACACAUGCAGGUCGAACGGUGAAGGGACCGGUUUUUGCUGGUUCUGGAUGAGUGGCGAACGGGUGAGUAACACGUGAGUAACCUGCCCCCUUCUUCUGGAUAACCGCAUGAAAGUGUGGCUAAUACGGGAUAUUCUGCGCCUGCUGCAUGGUGGGUGUGGGAAAGAUAUUGUUUCGGUGGGGGAUGGGCUCGCGGCCUAUCAGCUUGUUGGUGGGGUGAUGGCCUACCAAGGCGGUGACGGGUAGCCGGCCUGAGAGGGUGGACGGUCACACUGGGACUGAGACACGGCCCAGACUCCUACGGGAGGCAGCAGUGGGGAAUAUUGCACAAUGGGCGCAAGCCUGAUGCAGCGACGCCGCGUGAGGGAUGGAGGCCUUCGGGUUGUAAACCUCUUUCGCCAGUGAAGCAGGCCUGUCCCUUUUGUGGGUGGGUUGACGGUAGCUGGAUAAGAAGCGCCGGCUAACUACGUG
rnacentral:rRNA from 1 species